rnacentral:lncRNA from 1 species
UAUUUCUUGUUAUUUACUGUUAUUUCUGAGUAAUUUAAAGAGCAAAUAAGAAAAUAAAAGACCACCUCUCAAUCCCUGGGGACAGACUGCCAGGUUUUGGAAAGAUUGGACACUUUGUUAGCACUCUAAAUGGACAAUGUAUCUUUUUGCCUUUUAACUUUACAAAAUUGAAACUUUGGGACAGUUUUACAACUUUGGGAAAAAGUUGCCUCUUUGGCUGUUUGAGAGUCUUUAUUUUUGAUACUUUAUUACUUGUGUCCCCCUGAAGGCCAAAAGGGAAAAAGUCUUUAAUUGACUGAGGAAUUUUCCACCUAACAGCAGCCUGGGAAAGUACAAUAACAAAACAAUUUUGACUGUGAGAGUGACCUUGACUUUUAGAUAAAGUGCCAUGGAAGGAAGAGAUCUGAGGUCUGGGAAAGGCAGGCAGCAGAGCAACAUUGCACAACAGCAACAGCGUAGGCAAUCCAUAGCUGGACCACAAGGGGAGGAAGAAGGAUUGGCCAGUUUAUUUAAAAUUGUGAAUGAAGGUUUUGAAAAAUUGGGUCAACAAAAUGCCGAGGCUCUAGAAGCCAUUAGACAAAACUCUGCAAGUAUUGACAAGUUGACCCGACAGACUAAUGAAAAUACAGAUGUGAUUAAAAAACUACUGGAACAAUCUGCUGAAACCCAAAAACAGCUUUGGAAGCCAGAGAAAAGGCGGUAGCUGCUGAAGAAAAACUACCACCUUUAAUUAAACAAGUUCAAGAGCACCACAUAAGAUUGGGAACGCACCAGGAAUUGUUAUCUCUUCUGGAGUUAAAGGAGAAACAGACCAACUUAAGGAUCAGAGCAGUACCUGAGAUUGAAAAAGAGAGCCUGGCAGACUUUCUGACGCAAGAAUUUGCCAACUUUUGGCAAUUGAAUGAUAAGGAAGAUUUCAAGAUAACGUCUGCUUUUAGGCUCGGAAGAAGAGCAAGGAAAAAUAGAGUGAGAGACUGCCUGAUUACCCUGCGAUCAAAAGAGGAACGAGAUAAAAUUUUGAGCCUACAUUAUCAAAAUACACUGACAAUACAAGACUCAAGGAUAGAAAUAUUUAAAGACAUUCCAAAGCUUCUUUUGGAGCUUAGGUCUAACUAUCGAGACCUGGUGACGUUGCUGAGAGGAAACAGAAUUUUUUUCAGGUGGGAGUUCCCUCAAGGCCUAUCUUUCAGUUUUAGAGGCAAAAAAAUUAAAAUUAAAUCUGUGGAGGAGAAACAGAACUUUUUGAGAGACUACCAAGAGGACCUACAAAAAGGAUUGGAGCCAGAAGCCCCUUCAACAGGAUUGGAUCUUACAUUACCACCGUUGGGAGAGGAUAAGACAGAGAAGCCGAAACCACCAACAGAGGAAGAAGAGUUAUUGGGAGCAGUUGGAGGGAAAUAAAGAAAUCAUCAUGGCUCUGCAACUUUUAACUUGGAAUGUUUGUGGUCUGAAUUCUCCGGAAAAAGAAGGAAAGUAUUUCAUAUACUUAAAAAAGAACAAUUGGACUUAAUUUGCUUACAGGAAACCCAUGUGACGAGGCUCCAUAGGAAAAUAUUGAUUAAUAAGAGACUGGGCCAAGAAUUUAUCUCAUCAGACAAAGUUAAAAAACGAGGAGUGGUAAUUUACGCAAAGGAGAGCCUCUCACCAAAAUUUGUCUUUAAGGAUGAACAAGGAAGAUUCAUAGCAAUUGAAAUUCAAGUACAAGGAGAAAAAUUUUUGAUAGUAGGUGUAUAUGCACCAAAUGAGGGGAAAUCUAUAUUCUACAAAAAGUUGCAUGAGACCUUGAUGGACUAUAUGGACUAUAAUACUGUUUUCAUGGGAGAUAUGAAUGGGGUGGUUUCUACAAAUAUGGACAAGUCACAAAGAGAGGUAGUUACUAAAGAUGGUAGACUACCGAAAACAUUUUUGAACUAACUGACAAUAUGGAUUUGAUUGACAUUUGGAGAACUAAGAACCCCCUUGAUAGAGAAGGAACCUUUUUUUCUGAAGCCCAGAAGACAUGGACAAGAAUUGACCAAAUCUGGACUACUAGAGGACUGGCACCUAAGGUUAAGAAGGUAGAGAUCUGCCCAAAAACAUGCUCCGACCAUAACGCCGUGAGAAUGGAAAUGAAGUUAACAUCUAUCGGUUCCUUCCGAUGGAGGAUGAAUGACACCUUGUUUAGAGAUCAAGAGGUGAUUAAGAAGGCCCAAAAGACAUUGAGGGACUAUUUUGAGAUAAACUUGAAUACAACUGUAGAAAAAGAGUAAUCUGGGAUGCAAGCAAAGCUGUUAUGAGGGGCUUCCUGAUUCAACAGAAUUCAAUUAAGAAGAAGGCCCAAAACG